GACGAACGCUGGCGGCGUGCUUAACACAUGCAAGUCGAACGAAGUGGCGAACGGGUGAGUAACGCGUAAUCAACCUGCCCUUCAGAGGGGGACAACAGUUGGAAACGACUGCUAAUACCGCAUACGGAAGGAGGGGAUUGCGUCUGAUUAGCUAGUUGGAGGGGUAACGGCCCACCAAGGAGAUGAUCAGUAGCCGGUCUGCUGGGAUUAACGGCCACAUUGGGACUGGGGCACGGCCCAGACUCCUACGGGAGGCCGCAGUGGGGAAACGUCCGCAAUGGACGAAAGUCUGACGGAGCAACGCCGCGGGAGUGAUGACGGCCUUCGGGUUGUAAAGCUCUGUUAGUCGGGACGCGGUACCGGAAUAGAAAGCCACGGCUAACUCCGUGCCAGCAGCCGCGGUAAUUC
rnacentral:rRNA from 1 species